CAUAUUUUAUUUUAGGGGCAAUUGCUUAUAUACCUCUGGAAAGUUUCCGACUUUCCGAUUUACCCCUUUUAGAAGGCUAAUAUUGAAAAUACCCUUUCUACGUUUCAACAUAUUUCUAAUAUACUCCUAUAGAGUUAAAAUCUGUUAAUUAAUUCUGUUAUCUCUGUAAAAUUACUAUUUUGCCCUUUCAAAUAUACUCUUUCACCAUCACUAACUUUCUUAUUUGCCUUUAAAGUCAGAGGCACAAAAAGUAUUUUGACUUUUGGUCUUUUCCAAUAUACCCUUCUACCGUCACCAACAUUUCUUAUUUGCUCUUAAGUUAAGGGCAAAAUUGGUAUUUUAAUUUUUUUUAAACUGUGGUAGAUAUUUAACUUAUAUUUAACCCAAGUUAACUUAACAAGAGAUAACUGCGGGGGUAUUUUGCAAUAACGGUGGAACAUAUGAGGGAUAUUUUAGAAAGAAAAAAAAGAGUAUGGAUAAAUCGAAUAUUUUCAAACAUAUGUGGGGUAUAUAGGCAAUUAUCCCUUUAUUUUAUAGAGUAAACUUCAAAUACCACCCUGUGAUUUCGUACUUUCUCACUUUGGUACCGUGUGGUUUAAAGUGUAUCAAUUUACUAUCUUGUGAUAUUUUUUCAUCAGUUCCUCUAUUAACAUUUCGUUAAAUUAUAUACAAAAAAACUUCAAAUACUCCACCUAGAUUUAUCAAAUAUUCACUUUAGUAUCUUUUAGUUUCAACUUUAUCACUUUGUCACUAAUUUAACGAAAAAAAUUAGUGAAGAGAAUAACAAAAAGAGAAAAAUGAAAUCACAAGGUACGAGAGUGAUACAUCAUAAACCAUGGGGUACUAAAGUGAAAAAGUGUAAAAUCACAGGAAUGAUAUUUGAAAUUUUUACUAUUUUAUAAUUGAUUCUAAAUAAGUUUGAAUUUUAGAAAUGGCUCUAUUUUGUUUAUGUGAAUGUCAUGCCAGAUAAUCGAGCGUAAUUUUAUGUUACCAUAAUAAACAGCUUAUUAUAAUUUAUUUUAUUUAAACACGAUAAAUUAUUCAUCGUAUUUUGAUACCAUUAGAUGAACACGACAAGCACAUUCAUGUAAAUACUUAGCCAUGAUCCUUUGCUGUCACGCAUGAUACCCAUAUGAACAGCAUAGAAUUGUUCCUGCAUUUAAAAUUUUUAUGAUAUUAUUAUAUAAUAAAAAUUUUCAAAAGGCUAAAUAAAAAAAACAAAAAAACAAAAACCGUACAACUAAAUCAAAACUGUGAACGUGGAAUCCAAAAUAAUUGGGCUUUAGUAAGUACAAUAAUUGCUGAAUUUUUUAAUAAUAAAAUAGGAAUAUUCUGUUCCGUCAAAAAGGAUCCCAAAGUAAUUUGUCUCGCUUUUCCCCGCCACAAAAAAAUAACCCAAAAGAAAAAGAAAAUGUAUUAAAGAACCCCCUCAACUAUAGCCAUUUUUGCAAUGAAUCCCUUAACUUUAUAUUUUUAUUCACACUUUCUUAAUUUUUAUUUAUUUUUUACAAUUAAUGUAAUAUUAAUAUAUUAAAAUUUCGAUGAAACCAUUAAAUUCCAUACUUCAAAUAUUCUUUAGCAAAUAAAUCUAGAAAAACUAACACUUAAUAACUAACUAAAAAAAUCUUAAACAAUGAACAACUUUUCUUUUUUGAAUAUGUAUAGCUGUAAAAAAAAAUAUUUUAAUCGAAUAAGUGUGAUUCCUAUAACAUGUUACAUUUAUGAAAAUAAAUAACUAUUUUUUGAUGUAUUUUCUUAUCAUACAUAAUACACUUUAUCUGUAAGCCUAAAUAAAAUUUAAAUUUACUAAUUCAGUAGUUAAAAUAGCAUCUAUAAAAAAGUAUAAAAAUAAAAUUAAAGUUGAGAUGCACAUUUUACAUUUUCACAAAGGCAUAGCAUUGCUCAAAAAGAAAGGUAAAAAUGUAUAGAGAGACCCUAAAUUGUAGCUAUUUUAAAAUUGCUCCCUUAACUAAAUUAUUUUAAUUGAGAUCCUUCAACUUUUGAUUUUCUAGAAUCAAAUAGUUUUAACAAGAUAAAGUAGAAACAUUACCAAAUUGAUUAAUAAUUUUAUCAUAUUAAUAGUUUAACUACUUUAUAGCGAAUAAAUUAGAUUAAUUAACUACUAGUAGCUAAAAAGCUGGGAAAUUCAGUAAAAUUUUAGCUUUUUAACUAUGAAAACUCAAUUUAAGAAAAAUUAGAAGUUAAAAUGCGCGUCAAUUAAAAGAAAAAUUAGAAGUUAAAAUGCGCGUCAAUUAAAAAACAAAGAAAAAUAUAAGUUUAGGGGUCUAGUCCAAAACAUCCUAAGGUUGGGGGGUUUGUUUCAAAGGACACUAUAGUUGAGGGGCUCACCGCUCACAUUUCAUUUUCAAAAAAAAAAAAGAUAAUAUAAAUAAAUUCCUCUGAUGCCGUAGCGCUCGGCGCGCGCCAAAUCGCGUCCCUCUCCCGUCGCCGCGUCGUCCCCAUCUCCACUCUUCGUUGUCCUCUUCCUCCUCUUCUCCCCCAUUAGGGUUUACCCUCGCCCCCUCCCCCUCCCCCACCACUCGCACUCCCCUCCCUUCCUCCCUUCCAUGGCCGCUUCGUGCUCGAAGCCCUCUCUCCCCCCCCGACCCGCCGCGAAAACCUCCGAUCCGGGGCGAGUCCCCCGUCUCCCGGUGGCUUCGAAGCGGUUUUUGAGGCACGAUGGAGUUGCCCUAGGUCGGAAGGGUCUCUCCCUUCAUUGUAGCUCCGACGGCGGCUCCGUUAAUGGCGGCGGCGUGGAGAAGGAGCGGUUCGUGGAGUGGUUCAGGGAGGCGUGGCCGUACAUAAGGGGGCACAGGGGGAGCACGUUCGUGGUGGUGGUAUCGGGGGAGAUCGCCUCGAGCCCGUACUUGGAUAGCGUGCUUCAGGUAUUUUCAGAUUUGAUUCUCUUGUGGAUGUUUAUUUGUUGUUAAUUGGAAAGAAAUCCUUCAGAAAAAAUUCGAUUAGAUCAGAAAAUCUACUAUUUAUGUUCAGGCACGUUGUAAGAACACUUCAAAACUGGAUCUUAGUUUGCAUAAUUUUUUAUUGGUUAGCAGAAACAAAGAUCAAAUUAUGUUUUUUUUAUGACAGUUGUGCCUUCUAAGCUUCGGUUUGAUGUAGCUAACUUUGUGCUUUAUGAUCUCAUAUUGCACCAGUUAUGUUUUGAAUUUGUUGUGGCCAGUGCCUAUGCUCUUGUUAAUCUUCUACUAUUCAGGUUUUUCUGAGGUUUUUUUUUUUUCCAGUGAUUAUGAUCCAAAAAGGAGAAGAUAAAUAUUGAAUCGAAGUAUUCUUCUUAAAGCAAGUGCUCUAUAGGAAACUGAAAAUGGAAAUGGUUACAUCAUUAAGCAUUUUUUUUUCUGUAUAAUUAUAUGUUACUGUUCUGAUUUAAGAGUUAUUAUAACAAAAUUUUUUGUUUUAGCCUCUUAUGCAUUCUUUUUUCACUGUGCAUACUUUUGCAUUCAGGACAUUUCCCUCCUUCAUGGUCUUGGGAUUAAAUUUGUUCUUGUUCCUGGAACCCAUGUCAAAAUUGAUGAACUUUUGGCAGAGAGAGGUCAGUCAAGCUACUAUAGUUUGCCUCUCCUUAGCCUCCUGUCUGCUCUUAUUUAUAGAAGAUUGUUUACUUACUAGGGUUAUACAGUUAGUCAGCUUGUAAAUCAGACUUUUCUUUGUCCUUUUUCUUUUUUAAUUCCUUGGUGUGUCGCUUUUAAUAAAACUAUCUAUAGUAUCUAUACUGUCUUAACUUUUAACUCAGGAAUUGAGGAGCAUAUAAAUUAGCGAUCAGGGUCUUAAUUGUCUAUAAAUAUCUGUAAAUCCUUUCUAUGUUCCUUUUUCUCUAUUAUUUUUAUUUUGUUUGCCAUUUUAAAUCCUAGAUAAUGACUUUAAAUGUGAAUCUUCUCCAUCCUUGCUACAUUACACCUAUGAAAUUGUCUAUUGUAUAUUUUCCAGUAUAUGAAACCAUGUACCUAUGGAUUUGACUUCUUCUUCUUUUUUUUUUAAAAAAAAAAGCAUCUGUGGACCGAGUCCAACUCUGGGGCUAUUUUCAGUGCGAGGAAACAGCCAUGUAUUUGUCCACUGAAUCCAACUCUUGAUUAUUUAGACCAAGCUGUGAAACUCUAGGUCCACCUCAAAAAGCGUUAUUUGAGUCUUCGAGAGCUUCAAUUUUGGUGUUGGAUUGUCUUAAGCUGGUACAGUUGUCCUCAUUUUGCCUGUGAUGAAUGCUACUAUUUAUGCUACUUCCUAACAAUUGCUUGUUAGUCUGCAAGUUAGAAUUCUGGACGGCAUUAGAAAGUACACUGACAUGGAGUGACGCCGGUAAGCAAAUUUAAUAAUAAAGGCUGGCUGAUUUGGCUUUUGCAACUUUGGAGUGUGGGGAGGAUGAAAUUUAGGAACCUUCCUCUUCUCCCCUUUAGCUUGUUGGUAUUGAUGUUGCAAUUUGUUCAGUUUUCAACCCCAUUUUUCCUCCAAUGAAGUGUACUUUACUAACAACGGAAAUUUCACCUCUGAGAUGUGCAUUGCUGGUAUAACAUUGUAAAUGCAUUCACUGAAAGUAACAUGCUAUUUGAUAUUAAGCUUUGAUUCAAAAUUCACAUGAAUAUGAAAAUGUAUCUUUUGAAGAGUUGUAGCUUUUAUAGUUGAAAAUGUAUGCAUGUUCACCUGAGUUUGGUUUUAAGGAAUGUCUGUUCAUUUCUAUUCAGAAUGCUAGUUUUACUUUUUCCUUACAACCCCUUUCUGAAAUACAUGUACACGAUAUUAGAAUGAAACUCUAUUUCAGGAAGGAAAGCUACAUAUGUUGGUCGCUAUCGAAUAACUGAUAUUGAUUCGUUAGAGGCUGCAACGGAAGCUGCUGGGAGGAUACGGCUUAUAAUGGAAGCAAAACUUUCUCCUGGGCCCCCUAUAUCAAAUCUUCGGCUACAUGGUGAUAACAGCCGUUGGCACGAGCUUGGCAUCAAUGUUGCGAGCGGCAACUUCCUUGCUGCUAAGGUGAAAUUUUCAUGAUCAUAUGAACUUCUUGCUCACUUGUUUGUACUAAAUUCUUUGCCUUGAAACAAAUACCAACUGAUUUGUCUAGUGAUUUGUAAUUUUCAGAGUGCGGAUAGACUUUUCUAGAUAAACAGAAGACAAUAGGUCAGCUGCCUUCUGUUAUUAUCAAAGGUUGAAUUGGCCAUUAGAUGGGCCAGGUCUACACACAAGUUCCAUUAUAGAUUUUAGGAUGAGUAUUUGGUGCAGCUGGAUUGGUCAUUACCUAUAUUAGUUGCCCUUCAAGCUGAAGGCAAUUUGGUCUAGCAUAUUGACAUUCAUGAUUUAGCCCACUAGCCAUAAAAAUUAAAUUACAUAACUUGUAUGCACCCAAUGAAGUAUGCACCCAAUAAAGUUUGUGACCCUAUCCAAAGUCGAAUAACCACUUAAAAGUAGGAAAAGUAUUUCGCCUAUAUCAAUGGUUCAAAUUAUGGAUUGCCAGUGCAGCCCAUGCCAGUCAGCAUGUACCAUGCUGAUGGUGUGUUCGCAUUUUAUAAGGAUAUCUGCUAGAUUACCUUGUGCUGCUAACAGUAGUCCAUCUUUUUCCUAAUCUUUCUUUAUAAAUAUGCGUGGAAGCUUCGAUAAGGCCAUUGUCACAUCUUUAUUUUUUGGCUAAAAUACAUAAAACUCUCAUGUCAAAACCUGAUUUUUUACUUCCCCCCCCUCUGUCAUUUAAAAACCUACUCUUUGCCCCCUUGUGAAAUGAAAAAUAUUUACUUCACCCCUUACCGUUAGUAAUCCGUUAGGAUUCCGUUUAUAAAAUAUUAUUAUAUAUUUUUUUAUGCCAAAAAUGCCCUCAGUUUUCUAUCCUAUGAACAUGGUGAGGGGCAAAAUGGUCAUUUUGUCAUCACAGUUCACACCGUACCCUCCUGUGAACAUUUUUUACUUUACAAGCGGACAAAGUGUAGGUUUUUAAAUGACAGGGAGGGAAAGUGAAAAAUAGGGUUUUGACAGGGGGGUUUUCUGUAAUUUAGCCUUUUUUUUUGACAAAGAAUUACUGCUAUAUGGUUUUAUGACAAAAACCUAAAUGAGCUGGCAUUGAAGUGAAAGUAGCAGGGUGUGGAAUUAUUGCUCCAUUGCCCAUAACCAGCUCACCCACAAUGCCAUGGCACGAUAAACCUUGGUUAAAGUAUGUUGGUGUGUCUCAAAGGCUAUAAAAACCAACUUCAGAUAACCAGCUUCCUAAACCUGUUCGUUUCUUCAUUUCUGCUCUUAUCUCUUCUAUAUGUGAAUUUAAUUAUAUUGUUUGAUUUCUCUUGUUCUGCAACUUAUAAGCAUUUCCUAGUUCUUCUGGUAGAGAAGAGGAGUUGUUGAUGGCAUUGAUUAUGGAUUCACUGGUGAAGUAAAAAGGAUAGAUAUUUCACAGAUAAAAGAAAGGCUUGAUCGAGAGUGUAUUGUCAUUGUGAGUAACAUGGGAUACUCCAGCGCAGGAGAAGUAUUAAAUUGCAAGUAUGCUUCUUUUCCAAUUCUUCUUCUAUGUGUUUAUCAUUUAACUCUACGUCCCUCAGUGCCACUUGAUAGUAGGCAGUGCUUACCUUGCCAACAGGCUUUGGCAUGGCAAGACAACAGCACAGCUAGGAAAUCUGUGCUGUUUUGCAACCCAAAAAGAAAAGCAAAGAAGUCUACACUUUUUUUUUCUUUUUCCUAUGACAGAAACAGGAGUUCUUUCAUUUUUGCAACUUCAGGAUCAAACUGCACUUCCAUUACUUGACCAAGAUGACAGUUUCAACUGAUUGAUGCGUGAUUUGAACUGCUGUUGUCUACUUUUGAAAAUGUGAAAUUGACCAUUCAAAACUGUGCACCUUUGUCUAAUAGUGUAGGUGGCAAAUUGGUCCUUGAAGUUGAAAAGAUGAAAUAAAUUGUCCUGAUUCUGGAAGACUUUUAUUUUUCACUCCAAAGAAGCCCACAGAUUCUUCCUCUUCUGUUGUUUUAUAUGCUGAUCCUAUGUUUUGGAGGUGCAAGCUGUCUAGUAUCAGGCGGUACAGAUAGCACACAAAAUACUUGAUAUGGACUGCGGAGGCACUAGCUAGUUGGUUUUUUCUAGAGUUGCUAUAGGCUGCAUACUAUUUUUAUUAUUGUUGAGAAUUGGACUUUGCAUUUGUGUACAAGCCUCUUUAAACAUAGUUCUGUGUGCUUUCUCAUUUUUCUGCUAAGCCAAUUCUACAAUAAUUGAUCCUUUUCUUUGAACUUUUCAGCACUUAUGAAGUUGCCACAGCCUGUGCUUUAGCAAUUGAAGCAGAUAAACUAAUCUGCAUUACGGAUGGCCAAAUAUUUGAUGAGCAGGGACGACUCAUUCGCUUUCUGUCUCUUGAAGAGGCUGAUCUACUGAUCAGAAAACGUGCUGAGCAAAGUGAAAUUGCUGCUAAUUAUGUCAAGAUUGUGGGUGAAGAAGCUAUUAACAGUUCGGACUAUCUUGGUUUUAGUGAAGAAGGAGGUCAUCCUUCUAGGAACAGUAUGGGAUACAGUGACAGGUACAUUGCUUCUUUCCAGAAUGGUGUUGGGUUUGACAAUGGGAAUGGCCUAUGGUCUGGUGAACAAGGUUUUGCUAUUGGAGGUGAAGAGCGGUUAAGCAGGUUGAAUGGCUAUCUUUCAGAAUUGGCUGCUGGUGCAUACGUAUGCCGUGUAAGUCUUCAAUUUUUUAAGUUGCUGUCUUCUUGUAGGGAACUGACUUGUGUUCAACUUUCCUUUUCUGUUUUUCCCCAUCGUACCUGAUCUUCAAAGAUUUUGUGAGAAAUGUUUUAUCUUCCAGUUAUUCUUGUAUUAGUUAAAUAAGCUACUAUUCUAUACUAUACCAAGUGUACUAUGCUAUUCUUACAUAUAAUAUACCAAGUGGAAGUUAAUAUACUAUUCAUUGCAAGAAUUCAGCAGUGGGCUGGGCUUUUGUGGUUCACAUCUCCACUGUUGCACCUAUGACACUAAAAAUGGAAGCCAUUAUCUGCAUGUGCCAUGGCUUGGAAGAAUACAACAUUAUAACUGCUCUCUUCUUUGAUGAUGAGAGCUGUAAAGUCUAUUAUUUUUACUGGGAAAGGAGUUUCAAAAAUCUGCUCAAGAUGAUAGAAUGCUUUAUUAUGAAGCUCUCAUGCAUUGUUUUGCAGUCUCCAUUGGAAGCUGGCACUUGGAACUGAGUUUUCUUCUGCAUGUCAGGGUGGUGUCCAACGAGUUCACAUAGUUGAUGGUACUCUUGGCGGGGCCCUGCUGCUAGAGUUAUUUACAAGAGAUGGCGUGGGGACAAUGGUAGCUAGGUAUGGAAAUUUCCUCUUAAUACAUCCCGAAUCUGUUCAAUAUGAUGAAAGUAUCUCCCCAUCUUAGAGCUUGGAAUUGUUUUUCUUGUUACCUAUUCGUCAGCAGUGAUUACCUACUAGGCAUUAUUCGUUGAGAUUUGGUGCUCCAUUUGUAGUAAAAUUGAAGUUGCAAAAUUGGAAUUAAGUGCUAAUAAUUUCUUAAUUGAGAACUUCCUCGGCAUUUUUACAUUGUGACACCUCUUGAAAGUUUAAUCUAGAAAAAAAAAGAGAGUAAAAUCUCUUGUCAGAUUUUCUCACACUGAGAUGACAGGGAUGUCUAUGAGGGUACACGAAUGGCUAGGGCAGAAGAUCUUCCUGGUAUAAAAAGAAUCAUUCAACCAUUAGAAGAAUCUGGUGUUUUAGUUCAGAGGACUGAUCAAGAGGUACUUUUGAGAUAAUCUUCUUUAUUAACUUUGAAUAAUAAGUUGAAAGCUAGACAUUUUCUUACCUUCUGUAUUUUUUUGUGUUUUGAAUAUGCCUCUUCUUGGAGACAUAUGAACCAUGCACAAUAAGCAUCAAGCUAGAAUGCCUAAAUGAUCUUUUUUUCAGCUCCUUGAAGCAUUGGAAUCGUUUAUAGUUGUGGAGAGAGAUGGAUCAAUCAUUGCUUGUGCAGCACUAUUUCCGUUCUUUGAGGAGAAAUGUGGAGAGGUUGCUGCUAUUGCUGUGUCUCCAGAAUGUCGCGGACAUGGGCAAGGGGAUAAACUUCUCGGUAAUAUGCAUAAGAUAGUAUUUUAUCUAACUGUUCUGCAAACUGAAUCUGCACUUGUCUGGUUGCUUUUACAAGGAAAACUUUGAUGUUCUAAUGAGCAGGUUGCUCUGAUUCUAAAUCUGGUGUAAAGGUGGGGAUUUUCCCCUCCUUCAGAAUAAAAUUCACAAGAUCAACAUGAUACCACACUUUUUCUUGUUUUCAAGGAAACACGAUAGGACCCUUCAGAAUCCACCUUUAGAACUGUCCUACCUGCUUAAACUAUAUAUUGCUAUCUUCCCACUGUUGAUGGCUUUCUGGUGGUUUGAUAGAUAAAUGGUUCCUCACCACUCAUGUCGCUUAAGUCAUUAUUAAGUUCUACUGCUUGUAGUGGUGGAUUGGACGCUGUACAAUAUUAAUGGGAUACUGGAUCGAUUGUUGUACAGCAUUUUCAGUACUAGUUGAGCUGCUUUCAAAAUUCAGCAAAUAGAGCAUUGUUUAUUGUUAGUAUACAGGAAGGUUUUAAGAAGUUAAAUAAUUAAAUCUUAAAAGCUGAAUUUGUGACAUAAUCUGCAGAUUACAUUGAGAAGAAGGCAUCAGCUCUUGGGCUGGAGAAACUUUUUCUGCUUACAACUCGUGCCGUGGAUUGGUAUGUAAUCUCAGUUUGUUGUUAGUGUCUAAACAUAAUUUUGACAUCCUCUGGUUGUAUUUUGCUGUCCUAGUAAACAUUUUCCAUCAAGUUCAAAGUGGAAAUUGCUAUGCACAAUUUACAAGGCAAUUCUAUUAGAAUCGAUGUGUCUUUUUAUGCUAUUUGCAUUCUAUACACUAGGAUUAAAAAAUCAUUGCGAAGCAUUUAACAGAAUAACAAUUUUUAUAAGGGUUUGAAAAGCUGUUGAUAUCUGUUGCAUUUAUAUCUGUUUUCUUGAACUUGACUGGAUAUGUUAUUGGUUAUUCAUAAUUGUCUCCAUCAAAGACCCUUUUUCCAUCACUAGUAAGUCUUUCAGUUUUUCUCAAAAAAAAAAAAAGAAGAAGAAGUAAGUCUUUCAGCAAGCACAGUUGAUGUUUGUUAAUCUUAUCAUGGAAAUGAUCCAUUAACAUGUCAGCAUGUUUACUUACUAAUGUGAGGCUUUUUCCUGUUACAUCAUAAUAUAUUCUUUUAUUAAUCACCUGCACAAACUAAAAGUGUAAUAGGAUGACAGGAAACAAAAGGUGUAGACAAGCAUACUCAGAUCUGCAUGGGGUAACACUACCAGGGAAUUACUAUCCCUUGUCGUGUCUUUGUGUGUCCACAGUAUUAUUAUUGUUGUUUAUGUUCUUUGCAAUUUCUUUUCGAUUGCGAAGGGAGUGCCGUUUGGAAAUUUACUACAAUGAUGGAGCUUUGUACAGAAAAUCUACACCUGCUUGAUCUUUUACUGUUUGUUUUAUAAUGUUACAGGUUUGUGAGGCGUGGCUUCUCAGAGUGCUCAAUUGAGUCCAUCCCAGCGGAAAGAAGGAAAAGAAUUAAUCUCUCACGUGGGUCGAAAUAUUACUUGAAGAAGCUGCAACCAGAACGAGGUGGUAUCGCCGCCAACGACUUUGUCUUGAGAUAACGCGAAAUGCAUAAUUAACUCGCUAGCUUAUCUGUUCCUGGUAUUAAAUGUUUAAUCUUAUGCCACCAAUUUUGUUUACCUUGCGAUCAAAUUGUAGCAGUUUAUUGCAUCUUAUGCAGUGAAAAAUACGGUGCAUUAGAAUCUGAGAGAACCGUUGUUAAAUAAGUUAAAGGUUGUUCUUUUGCACUGGUGAUCUAAAUUCCGUCAACUUUCCUCGUCCAAAUAUUUAUAGGAACUUACAUAUUGCUGAAACAAUGCAACACCUGCAUUUCGGUACUUACUGUAUUAUUCGAGUUUUAUGUAACGAAAAUCUGUAUAAGAUUGUUUUGCGACCACAUCGUCGUGUCGGAGAAGGAAGAGAUUCAGCAAUGUCUAUUCAAUUUGUGUUGUGUUCCAUCUAGAGAGAUUCUAAUGAUGCUUUUGGGCCCGAGUAAGAAGCAUGCGGGCUAAUAUCCCUAUCAUCUGAAAGCGGAAUGUAUCCUCUGCUUGGAAAGUUUGGUCAAUGAUAUACUCUGUUAUCAGACGGAUCGUAAAUCACGAAUAAAACUUCAGUCGAAAGCUCUCCAACCCGUCUUGUUUGGGAAGCUCUCCAACAAGUCUUGUUGGAGAGCUCUCAGAUUCACCGCUACUUAUGAGUUUUGUCUCCAUCCCAAGAAUUCAUUUGGUAUUUUUAAUACUAAGAUGGCGAAAAAAAAAAAAAAAAAAAUCUUGUUGGAGAGCUCCGUGAUUCACUGCUACUGGUGAGUUUUGCCUCCAUCCCAAGAAUUCAUUUGGUAUUUUCAAUACUAAGAUUGUGAAAAAAAGAAAAAUUAAAUCCGAAAUAGAAAGAUUAUAAUUUUUUGAUAGAAACAACACUGACAAUAAAUCAGAACUUCUCAAGAAAAUGUUAUUGGAUAGCUUCUCAUUGAAUUUUUAUUUAUUUAUUUUUUUUCAUUAGCAGGACAAAUCCACGUUUAUUCCAACCCUAGUCCCACGUUUAUUCCAACCCAAGUUGCGACCCAAAAAUUACAGUACUAUUUGGGGAAGUGUUUUACAUUGAUUGGACAAAGUUGACAGGACAGACCCAAGCAGUUAGGAGAGUGAUAUGGACAGGCACCGAGAAUGAGAUUGUUUGAGAUCAUACGUUAGUUUCAUCUGUGGAGAAAUUAUUGUGUGGAUUUAGUGCAUCAUGAACCGAUAAACUAGAGCUUAAUCUUUACUAGUUGAUUUUUUUUUUUGGAAAGGAAUAAUUGCAUAUGUAUCUUCUUAAAACGGGAUAUUGCAUACUUAUCCCUCUAAUUAAACUUUAAAAUGUCUUUUAUGUUUGUGCAAGUUUUAAAAACUUAUUGUCAUAAAUAGUUUGCACUUAUUGACGACCGAUUGGAAUUGUGAGAUUAAACUCUAGUGCUUUUUAUUAACAAUUUGAUGCCAAUUGAUCCGCUCAGUUAUUUUUAGAAUAUUAAUGAUUAUUAAUUUUAUGAAAGCAAUGAAGCAAAAAAAGGCAAAAUAGUAUUUUUAAGUAAAAUAUAGUGCCUUUUAACUAGUCAAAGAAUGUAAUUGUAAAUUUUUAAAGUUUGUAGACAAAUUUGUAACUUUAAAACCUUUAAAUAUGGUAAACAAAUUUCAAGCAAUAAUUUCUCCAGUUUAACCGACUGUCCCUAAUGCAGAUGACAAAAAUUUUAAUGAUCGGUACCCUGAGGUCUAAGUUCAAAGUUUAAUUGCUUCAUAUUUCAAACUAUUUUUUUUUUUUUUAAAAAGACUUUUAUUUAUGGAGCUUUUGGUGGAGGGCACAACGCACCUCGUCAAAGUUGGCGAGUUUCGUCCGUACAGUAAAACUUGACAUCGUUCUCGUCAAGCGCAAAGUUACAAGUUUGCGCCAUAUGUGAAUUCGCCACCCCUGUGAGACUGAUAUAGUGCGUUCGGGCCUCCCUAAGGAAGUCCAAGUUCACCACUAUGUCCAAACACCGGCGAUCUCUAGUUACACGAACUCGCGAGUUCGUCCCUAGGUGGAAGCAAACACGCCCUAGUACUUCGGUGUAUCUUUGGUUCAGUGAGUGUGAACAUAAGGGAGAUUCCAAAGCAAGCCACUCACCCCAAAAAAUAAAAAAAACAAUAAAAAAGAAGAAGAAGAGAGAAACAAAUACAUGCAAGUUGAAAAAUUCCCUGUGGUCUUUGUCAAGAGAAGAGUAGAUUCUUUUUUGUGCUCAAGUUUCAAAAUUCUUUUUUGUCAUGAGAAGCGUAGUACGUUACCCGUUUCGUUGUGGCAAAGGGCUUGGUGGUUGGUACCUGAGAUUCCAAGUUCGAAUUCUAGUUGAUUCACAUUUUCAGCUAAGUUUAUUUCUAAAUAAAAUAAAUGAAGUGAGUAGCGUGUUAUCUAUUUCUCAAAAAAAAAAAAAGUUUCGGAAACUUCAAAAGACUCUUCUUUUUUUCUUUUUUAAGUAAUUUAUUAUUUUAUUGUAUUUUGGCCAUUUGCCUUGCAAGUUGGGGAAGCAAUAUCUUCUCAGAUCACUUAAAAAAAAACGUGACAUUUUAUUAAGUGUUAUUAGACACGCCGAUAAAAAGUAUGCGAAUUAACUCCUGUAGUAGCUAAAACUUACUGUUGGGUUUUUAAGGAAGAGGAAUUUAAAUCAACCGACCCUUUCUAGCGCAAGUGGUAAAGAAUUUGAUAGUUGACAUCCGAGGUCCCAAGUUCAAAUCUUAAUUGAUUCACAUUUUCAGCUAAGUUUAUUUCUAAACGAAAUAAACGAAGCGGGUAGCAUAUUACCUAUCUCUCUUUCUUUUAAAAAAAAAAGGAAUUUAAACUAAAGAGUAAUGAAAGGCUAAAUUAUAAAAUCAAACUUCUAAAAUAAGCACUCAUUUCUGAAUAUGUGUUGUAGAAAGACAAAAACUGUUGGCUGCGAGUUCUGCUUGGAGAACAUAUAUAUCCUAUAAUAACACGCUUUAAAAAGUUAAUUUUCGAUAAAUUCAUGAAAAAAAUCGGUACCUAUGUGGGACGAUCAUGCAAAGUAAACCACUGGGAUUUUAUUAGAGAUAAGGCAACGGGCGAAAUUUCGUAGAAUUUUUUUGGGUUCAAUUUCCAGUUGGGUGGGCUCCUAAAUAAGUGUGUACAGAACCGAACAACCAACUAAAAAAAAUUAAUAAUAAUAAUAAUAAUAAAAAAUAAAAAGUUAAAGCAAGAAAUUAUUUAGCAGACGCGCUGUAAUAGAUAGAGACAAACAACCAACAAUAGAUUUGCUGUUUGUUAAGUUGUUUGAUGGUUGAGUAAAGAGAGGGAGACGCACGAGCGCCUACGCGUCACUCACCCAAAAACUGAAAGUGUUUAAUGGCCCUUGUUCGUUAACAAAGAAGCAGUUAAUUAGUAACUUACAAGGCCGGAAUUCGGAUUCUCUAUUAUGAGCUUUUUACAGCCUGUAUGUGGUGGCAUCUGCCAUCAUAUGCAGGGCGGUCUCAUCCCCUUUAAUGGAUUCAUUGAAUGGAAUUUGAUGAUCAUCAAUAAUGGAUUCAUUGAAUUUUACCAUCAAUAGGAGGAUGAUCUGGAAUCUCCAUUGAUCCGGUCCACCCAAAACAUGGUGGAGCAGGUUUUGAUUGGCUUAACUAGCUCAGUAACUAUUUAGCUGCAGUUUUUUCUCAUUUUGUAGUUGUGGUUGUCAGUCCCACUUUCGAACCCCAACCAAGAGCUCAGGGUGUCGAUGAGUUGUAAACGGAGGCCUCAUUAAUCAUCAAUCGACUACUGUGUGAACCGCAGCUCUCACGAUCAAUCCAAGAGAGCAUAAUACCCGUGGACAAGAAAAGGAAACGUUACGGUGACCUCAGCUACAAACGAUAUAUAUAUUCGGAGUACCAAAUUUGCACAUCACUAGAGAACCGUAUAUCUGCAAUCUCUCAUUAUCGGAUAAUAGAGGAAGUUAUGUAAAUUAUCAAAAAUCACACACGCUCGAAAAACCCGAGCAAUAAUAAUGGCUUAAGCAUUCACCAACAAAACAGAAAUUAAGAAUAAAAAAGAAGAAGAGAAACAUAAGUUUAUGUAUCCACCGCAGAGGAUGAUAUCACACAGCAUCAAAUAUGAAAUAUUUGCACACCAAUAGCAGCAAGCUUGUCCAUUUCUUUUUAAAAAGCUAGACUAGAAGAAGAGAUACGGUCCCUAAACAUCUACCCAAUUUCAGAUUAUUCUCACAGCACAAGUCGACGAGAAGAGGAGAAAGUAAAAUGGUAAAAAUAAAAUCUUUCGGAAGCAGUGAAGUGAAUGUGAUCAUCUACUUUGCUAGCGGUUGAUGCCAACCAUCCUUCGGUUGCACGCAGGGUUUGAUGAGAGCUGCGAUCGCCGACUCAAAAGCACGCUUCCAAGAGGCAGCAGCAGCAAAGGGCGGCCAAGCUGCAGUUCGAUCAGAGAAUUAAAAACAUCAACAAGGAGAUAAUAAUAGAAGGAAGCGAAUAGCAGUAAGAGAGAUUAAACAAAUGUAACAGGUGAGCAGUUUAGUUAUCAAUACUAAUAAAAUUUGAAGUCGAUUUUGGGAUCCAAAAUCCUUGAAUUCUGUAGAAUUGGAAUAUGGUGUACAUAUAUCCUAGAACUUUUUUCCGUAAAGAAAUAGAUCGAUUUAGCGACACUUCUGAUAAUGAAAGAAAACCCUAAUUUCAAAUUGAAUUGGUGAGGUUGCAAGAAUUGAUUGGCUACUAAUGAUAAUAUCUUCAUUGUCCUCGUUAGUAAGUGGUGUCCAUUUUCUCCUCAGCAUAGAAAGAAACAAAAAAAAAAAGAUACUGUUUUUUCUAUCAUCUCGGCCGCCAUGAUACUGGAAAGGAUUUGAUCAUGCUUAAAUGCGGUAGCUUCGUAAGGAUUUUGAUGAAGCACAUUGUAGCGUGUUAAUUGGCAUGAAGAUUUGGUGUAAUGGCACCUAACCACUUUAAUGAUGUUAUCUUUGUUAUAUUAGUAUAACAUCAUAGUAUUUGGUUAAAAGUCAUGUUACCUUUCUACUUUAUUUUAACUAAAGAUGGAUUAAAAAAGCAAAUGCAUCACCCAUUUCCCACCGUUUCCCAAAAGAUACUAGUAUGAUGCAUGAAUUGCACUCAGAUAUUUCCUACAUCUCUAUAACUCUACGAAUGAAUAAUCAAUUAAUGAUAACUAAAUGUAACAAAUCUAAAAUCAGCUUCAUUUACUCUUAUCUCAAAUAUAAAAUAAAUGGUCUAACCAUUAGACUCAGAACUUAUAAAGGAGUCAAAACUAUCCUGCAAACAGUAAAUGCGGCAUCUUUCUCAGGAAACCUUCUGACACGUAAUUAAAAUAUCUGGACUAAGCGGUUAUUUAUAGUAUUAUUAUUAUUAUUAUCUCAAAAAAUGAUUAAAUAAAAAGUGAUUAUGAACAACCACGAAUAUUUCGGAGAAAACGCAGGGGCAUUAUGGGGAGAUCAAAGGCUACUGGUCAAACACGUCGCCCACGUUCCCGAGAAAGCGAUUUAAUGCAAUUUCGGUGGUUAACACGUCGAAUCAUGCGCCACGGACGCACCGCGCACGAUAGCAAGGGCAAGGGCAACGCGCUAUCGUGCGCCGGCGAUGGUGGCGAGGCACAAUUGAACAAAAAAAAAAAAAAACAAUUUUCCAUCCGCCAAUGGACUGGCACGAAUCUUAAAGUAUACGAGCGCUGUACGGGAUGGGUUCCAGUAAACGAGGAGCGUGCUAAUUUGCGCGUUGCUCCUCCGAGGCGCAGGAUAGCGGCGAUGCGCCUCGCAGCGGCGAGGUCGUGUAGCGCGCGCGGUAGAGAGAUUAGGGUUAACCUCGCUAUCAUGCGCCGAUCCUAGGAGAGACCCCGGAGUUGAGGUGUGCAAGGUAGCUAGGUUGAGUAAUAUCCGCUAUCGUGCGCCGUCCGACGAGGAUCGAGGUCUCGCCGAUCCCUUAGCCGCUUCGAUUGAUCUGCGCCGAGGUGCGCACAGUAGUGAAGCGACGAAAGCCUCGCUAUCGUGCGCGCCACGGCGGAGAUCGGGGCCUCGCCGAUCCCUAAAUCCUUUCGAUGUGCGGCGAUCGGAUUCGGGAUCGAGAGAGAUCGAGAUGGAGAUGUAAAAGGAGAUAAGAGGGACGGUGAGAGAAAGAUUGAGAGCGAGAGAUCGCGAUCGGGAGUGAUUGAGAUCCAGAUCCAGAUCUCGAUCGGGAGAGAAAGAGAGAGAGAGAGAGAGAGAUAUAAAGCGUACCAUCCCUCCAUGAACGAGGGUCCGCUACUCUGCUGCUGCGGCGGAGGCUGGGCGUAGGGAGGCGGAUACCCCUGCGGCGGCGGGUACCCCGGCGCCGGCGCCGGGUACCCCUGCGGCGGAUACCCUUGCGGCGGGUACCCCGGCGGCGGGUACGCGUCCUUCCCGUAUCCCUCCGGAGGAUAACCUAAUCACAACAACAACAACAACAACAACAACCACCUCAUCACCAUCAGAUCGGAUCCCCAUUAUCCCCACCCCUCGGAAACCCUAUAAAACGGCGAAACCCUAGAUGAGGAGCAGGAGGAGGAAGACGAUCGCCGUACCUUGGGGCGGCGGCACGCCGACGGGGGGCUGUUGCUGGUUGUAGUAGCUCAUCUCCGCUGCGGCGGCUCCAGCGACGGAGGAGACGAGGGGGGCGAACGAGGUGGUAGAGGAGAACGGGGAUGGGAGAGAGAAAUAGAGAGAGAGAAGGGGGAUUUUAUAGGAGGGGUUGGGACUUGAGAUAAGAAAGAGGGGGGGUUGGGGAACGCGGAUGCGGCACUAUUCUGGGCAAAAGGGGAAAACGCGUCGAUGCCGUUUUCGUAGCGUGGGUGUAAUUUAUGCGUAUUUCCUUUCGGUUAAAUUACUGAAAUUUUUUUUUAAUAAAUAUAUUUUUUUUCUCUUUCUAAUUUUUUAAAAUUUAUAUUUUAUUUUUCUAAUAUUUUAAUUUAUUAUAUUUAGUCCUCUUUCCUCACGAUUCUAUCAAUAUUGCGUUUACUUUUUAUAAUUUAUACCUAAAAUACUCUUUAAAAUAAAAUUAAAGAAGUAUAUUAAAAAAUAGUUUUUAUCUUAUAUAAAAAGGAUAGUUUGGUCAUUUUUUCAUCUUCGUUUAUGUGCUAUUCUUCUGAAAAUUUUUUAAAAAUUUUAAGAGGACAAAAUAUAAAUCUUUGAAAUUCAAGAAAAGAAAGAAAAAAAAAACGAAUAUUUACAAAAAAAUAAUUUCUAUAUUUUAACUUUGUUUUAUAAGAAAAAAAAGGAAACAGGAAAAUAUUAUAGAAUGCUUUUCCUUUUUUUAACAAAUUUGAAGUAGAUAGUGACUAGUUUUUUUUUUGGAUUAUUUUUUGGAAAAACUUCAAAAACCUCCCCUGUGGUUUCGUAGUUUCUCACUUUACACUCAUGUGGUUUAAAAUGUAUCAAUUUGUCUAUCUGUGGUUUCUUUUUUCUCUUUUUCUUAUCAAUUUUAUUAUUUUUUUUCUUAAAUCAGUGAUAAAGUUAAUUUAAAGGGUACUAAAGUGAAUAUUUGAUAUAUUAGAUGAGUAUCUGAAGUUUUUUGUAUAUAAUUUAAUGAAAUAUUAACGAAAAAGCUACUGAAAAGAUAAAAACGGAACCACAUGGGGGCAAUUUGAUACAUUUUAAAUCACAGGGGGGCAAAGUGAGAAACUACGAAACCACAGGGGGGUUUUUGAAGUUUUCCCUUUUUUUUUACUUUAUCAUUUUGUGUUUUAAAAAUUUAUAUUUAACUAUUCUAUAAUUUAGUAUAUUUUUAUUUUGCUAUUAUGUAGUUCAAAAAUUAUAAUUAAUUAUUCUGGAGAUAUCAUAAAAGUGUUAUUUUAUUAUCAUAUUUGAUAAUAAUAGGAAAGAUAAAUUCAUAAAGUAGUUAAAUAUAAAUUUGAAACCAGAAAGAGGCAAAGCGUCAAUAAGCUAAACCACGGGUGGCAAAUUAAAGUUUAUUAUUAUUUUUUUAUUUUUUGCUUCACUUAUAGCACUAAGCCAAAUUGAAAUUUAUCCUUAUUCUUCGCUCCGGUUAGCGUUUCAUUUAGGACUAGUGUAAUGACCCGCGCUUCGCGGUGGGAGGUCGUAACGUUGAGAGCUAAUAAUAUGACUUUUAUUAUAUUUAUUUAUCACGAAACAUACAGAUAUAUAUAUAUAUAACAUUCACAUUAUGUAAGAUAACUAAAUAUAUAAUAUAGAUUAUCUAAUACGAUGUGAUGUCUUUGAUAAUACAAAUAUAAUUGAUAAAACAGUUCUUAAAUCAUUAAUUAUGGCCUAUCGGUUCCACUUGAUUUCUUGCGGGUGUUAACUUUGCUUGGUCCUUUUCCAGUCUUCGAACUGCAUACGUAUGAACAAAAUAGCAGAUGUUUCAAUAGGCAAAUCACUAUCGUUGUUGUCGAGCAUCCUCAUAAAUUGAAUUGGUAUGCAACCACUCAGUCAACAUUGUUUUUUCAAUAUUUGGUCUACGCAAAAGACUUUUUAAAUUUUCAGUAUUGUGAAAAAUAAUAUUAUUCAUUGAAGGAAGAUGUACUCGUAGUCGCUCAAUCGAUGGUUCUCUAAAAUGGAUAUCAAAUUGGAACAAACGGCAAGUUGCUUCAUAUGCAGAUAAAUAUCUGCAAUCUAUAUAUGUUUUGAUUUCAUCAAUCUCUUGUUUUUUCUUUUGGUGAACAGCAAUACUAUAUAUAGAAAAAAUUGGGGGGAGCAUGCAUGCACUCUCAUGAUUAGAAAGAUAGCAAAAGGACAAGACAAUAUUCUAUGCACUAUGAAUUUUUUUGUUUCAUGCACCAUGUGUAUGUAGUAUGAAAAAUUUUGUAAGAAAAAAGGUUAUCUUGUGGGUGAGAUAUUAUUUCUAUUAGACUUAAAAAAGUAAAAAAUAAUUUACAAAUAAUCCAUCGUGAAAUUGGAAUGAAAACAGGAGAUUUAGAAUUUUCUGUAAGGAAUAUAAUUUUUUUUAGAAGAAAAUACAGUGUAAAAAAAUUAUUAAACUUUGAAUAUAUGCCGGAAUUAUUUUUCUUAGGCUAGGUUUAAAAUUUCAUGUCAUUCUGACACUCCAAAAAUGAGGACGAAAAAUAGUAGCAAUCUGAUAAAGAUUUUAGUUGGUAGACCCUUCGGCGACAAAGAAAAUGUUCAGAACUGUAAAAUUAAGAUGACGUUCUUCUGGUUGAUUUUAACUAAGCUUGCCUUUAAAAUCAUUAUUGUUUACAAUGAUACAGAGGGUGCAUAGAACAAAAUUUUUCAUAGUACAUGCCUCUUUAACAUAGUAUCUUGCCUUUAAGGGUGCGUUUGGUUCGCGCUAUCUUUUAAAGAUUUCUAGUAAUUCAAUGAGAAUAAAAAAAUAUGACGGUAUUUGGCUAAACACAUUAAGUAAUCUAGUUGGUAAUAUUAGAUUCACUUGGGAAUAAGAUUCACCCCAAAGUACUAAUCUCAUUCCCUUGAGAGGGGUGGGUAUCCCAUAUUAAUGAAUUGGGAUAAUCAUAAUAUGUCUAAUCUCUUUCUUUCGUCCUACCCGGCGGCUAAUUGAUAUUAUUUUUCUUUACACUCUAACCUUAUAUCUCUCUCUAAACUUUUUUUUCUCUCUCUAAACUAAACUUUCUCUCUCUCUCUCUCUCUCUUUCUAAAAUUUCAACUCUCUCACUCCCUCUAAUUUCGACUAUAUUUUUCUUUUUAUUUUUUUAAUUAUGCUCUCUCUCUCUAACUUAUACUCUCUUUUUUUUCUAAAAAGAUGUUGAAACUUUUGGUAACAUUAUUUAAAAAUAAAUAAAUAAAUAAAUAAAUAAAUAGUAUAUUUUUUGUAAUAUUAAAUAACAUGGCUAAUUAAUAUUACCGUACCGUGCGGACUAAACAUAAGAAUUCCACAUUCUUAGUAAUAAGAUGAAUAGGAAUAAGAUAGGAAUAAGAUUCUCGGAUAUUUUUUAUUCCUACUAAUCUUUCAUAAUGCGAACCAAAUGCACCCUAAAAUCAUUACGGUUUAACAUGAUACAGAGGGUGCAUGAAAUAAAAUUUUGCAUAGUACAUGUCCAUUUAACAUAGCCCAUGCGAGUCUAUGUUAGGGAAGGAGAACAUGUGAGGGAGAGAGAGAGAAAACCCAUAUAAAAAAAAGCCACGUGGCUCGAUGGAGGAACGGUAUUUGGUUUCAACUUUAGUAUAGAGUUUAAUAAAGCACAAAAAAUAGUAAAUUUUCGACAAAUUAUUACAAAUCAAAAUGGAUGGAAAAAAAUAAGUUCCUCAUCUUUAGUUAUAUUUUCUUAACUGAUUAGGACGACUAUGAAAUUAUUAUUAUUAUUUUUUAAUUCUUAGCCUUUACUUAACUGCCCAUCCGGAGCGGAAAAUGUCAGGAGCUCCAUAAAUCCGACCCGUUUCCUCCAUAUACUUAGUAGUUAAGGAAAAGAGGAAUUAAUUAUACUUUGAUCCCAGGUUUUCUGUGUGUUAUUAAUUUACUCCUAAAUCUUUUGACCUUUUACAAUUUGGUUAGAUAAAAAAUGCAUAAAAAACUUACCUCAAUUAUCAUCUAUUUAGAUUUAACUACUUUACUUGUAAAAACUUUAAUUUUACUAUUUGAUCUUUUAAUUUAUUUGAAUUGAGCAAAUUAAUGACUCUUUCAUUUAAAAUUUGAAGUGUGUCAUUAUAUUUUUAUAAAUUUAGUUAGCAUAUUUUAUAUAAUUUAUGUAACUAUAAAUUUAUUAGAGUAAAUAAUUAGCUUAAAUUUUAUAUUUAAAGAGCCAUCAGAUUAUUGAAAUCAAAUAAAUUUGAAGGUUGAGAACUAAAAUUAAAAUUUUAAAAGAUUGGAUAGUCAAAUCAGAAUGGCCUAUAGUUCAGAUAGAUUUUAUAUAUUUUUAUUUUAUUUUUAUAAGUAUGAUUAGUCACUUACAAAGGUAUGAUAAAAUGUUCUUAUCGAUUUCUAAAAGUUCCUUCAAAUUUAUCCAUAAUCUUAUGAUUUACUAAAUAGAAUUUGGAGUUUAAAAUUAUAUUUUGAAAAUAUAUAAAUUUAAAAAUUUUGAAUAAUAAUGACGAAUAUAUAGAUAAAGGAUAUAUCUAUAAACGGAUGAGAUACUCGCGUGGGAAGUCGAUAUUCUAGAUUUGAGUCGAAAUUGUGCUUUUAUUUAAAAAACUUUAUUUUUUGACAAUGAAAAAAAAAAGAGGAUAUUUUGUAAAAUGUGGAGUAGUAGAAUCACAAUUAGUGUUUCAUACAAAAAUUAUAUUCUAAUUUAGGCGUAGUUUUAACUACAGCAGUUGAGUUUCUUUGUACGAUUCCAACUCCGAUAGUCGAGUUCAAACGAUCAAAUCAAACGUCAGAUUUGAAUUUGCAUACAGUUAUAAUUGCAGUGCCGUUAUAAUUAUAUACAACUAAAUAGUCCCUGAACGUGUUAGAGAAAAGCAAUUAACUUUUGCAAACGGAUCAUUUUGGCUACAGAUAACUAAUUCUUAGUCUUUGAUUGUCAGGGUCAAAUCUGUCCCUAACAAUUGGUAAUGAAUUAAUUAAUAAAUUAGACGAAUCGGUGAUGCGAUGCAAGCCAGCGAUUCAGCAUUAAACCAUUUACAGAUCUUUAAAACAUUUUGAUUGAUCAAUUUUUUUAUGUUAUUACUGACCGUUUCUAGUGCAAGUAGCAAAAGAUUUGGUGAUCUCUAAAGCGAGUGGCAAAAGGCUUGGUAGUUGGUAUCUGAGGCUCAAGUUCGAAUCCUAGUUGAUUCACAUUUUCAGCUAAGUUUAUUUCUAAAUAAAGUAAACGAAACGAAUAGCGUGCUACCUAUCUCUCAAAAAAAAAAAAAAAAGAUAUUCAAAAUUUUAAGUUCGAAUUUGAGUUGGUUCACAUUUUCAGCUAAAUUUAUUUUUUUUAAAAAUAAAAGAAGUAUGUAACAUGCUUUUUUUAAAAAAAAAAAAAAAAAACUUUCUCAUAUUAUGAGCGAGAUCAUGUGGUCCAUCUCAUUUGUGUUGUUUUAAAAUUUUCGAAGGUGAAGUAAUAAUAAAAUAUCAUUUACGUUUGAAUGCAUAUUUUAUAAGGGGGCAAGGUCUAUAAGUGAAGUCGACAAGGACGAGCUCCUCAAGCUACAAAGACAAAAUGAAACUUUGCAGUUUUUAGCAGCCCACGUGUAGUUUUCUUUGGUACAUAAAAUUAAAAAAAAUUCUAUUUGUACAAUAAAAAAAAAAUAAACUUCAAAUAUUAUCUCUGUGGUUUCGUACUUUCUCACUUUAAUAUCCUAUAAUUUAAAGUGUAUCAAAUUAGUGUCUUGUAGUUUUAUUUUUAUCUUUUCAUCAGUUUUUCUAUUAAUAUUUCGUUACAUUAUAUACAAAAAACUUCAGAUACCUCACCUAGGUUUAUCGAAUAUUCACUUUAGUACACUUUGGUUUUAACUUUGUCAUUGAUUUAACAAAAAAAAUUAGCUGAAUCGAUAAUAAAAAGAUAAAAAUAAAACCACAAGGUAUUAAAUUGAUACACUUUAAACCAUAGAGUACUAAAGUGAGAAAGUGUGAAACCACAAGAGUGGUAUUUGAAGGUUUUUGCAAAAAAAUUGCAAAUUUUAUGCUAUUAUCCUAGUAUUCAUAAAAAUUUAAAUAUUUUUUUUAUAAAAAUAAAAAAACGUUGAUGUAAUAAAUAGAUAAUUAAUGAUCUUUGAAUAAAGUGGUAUAAAAUGUACAUCCCACUUUGAAGUGUAUUAGUAGCAUUGUUUAUUAACUGAAGGUAAAUUGCACGUUUGGUCCUUAAACUAUAAAUGGGGUGAUAUUUUAAUUUGUAAAUUUUAAUUUAUUAUAAUUUUUAAUACGAAUUUUCAGAAUUAUUUAUAAUCAAGUCUCAUAAUUUAAUUUAGCUGACUAAAUAUUAACAUGUUAUAAUUCUAUUUAGCUUUGAAAUUUAGUCAAUUAAAUUAAACUAUAAGACUUAAAUUAUAAUAAUUCUAAAAAUUUAAAUUAAAAAUUAUAAUAUAUUAAAGUUGGAGAGCCAAAGCCAAAGAUUCUCAAUUGACUCAUAGUUUGAGGACACACAUGCAAAUGUGGUGGGGGCCACCACCAUCCACUCACAAAAAUAAAAAAAAAAAAAAUCGGGAAAAAUUAUUGAAUGUACCCUACGUACUGUGCACCGUGCACCACAUACAUAAAAUCGUACACUGCCCAUAAUAAAAUUAGAAUUUCACAACAUUAAAAAGUAUAAAUAUAAAAAAUUAUAAAUUUGAAAGGCCUAUAAUUAAUAAAUUGCAUAAUUAAUGCUCCUCUCUUUAACUUUGAUCCUUAUGGAUUAUCACAGACGAUGCCUCCAUAAUAUAAUUUGGGUAAACUUUAAAUAUCACCUAUAUAAUAUUGUACUUUCUUAUUUUAAUAUUUUAUAAUUUAAAAUAUAUUAAUUUAGUAUUUUGUGAUUUUUUUUUUGUCAGCUCCUCCGUUAACAUUUCAUUAAAUUAUAUACAAAAAAUUCAGAUACUCCAUCUAGAUUUAUCGAAUAUUCACUUUAGUACCUUUUAGUUUUAACUUUGUCACUGAUUUAAUGAAAAAAUUAAUAGAGGAAAUAAUAAAAACAGAAAAAUAAAAUCACAGAGUACUAAAUUGAUAUACUUUAAAACAUAUGGUAUAAAAAUAAAAAAAAAUGCGAAAUAUAGGAGUGAUAUUGGAAGUUUUUCUGUAUAAUUUUAAAAUUUAUCAUUUUUCAUGUAUACUUAGUCGUUUGAGAUACGGUAAAUCACGUCUAUUGGAAUAUAUUUGGAUCUGAGAGAUAUGAAUAAUUGAACACGGUGUAAUAAUAUAUGAGUCGUACGCAGAUAUUGGUUACAGCGAAAAAUUGAGAGGAGAAACUGAACUAGUUGAAAAAGAAAUUUUUCAAUACACCACAGCUAUUUAAAUCUAAUCGUUAAUUAGCGACGAAGUAAAACAGGUUACCGGCUUAGACUAGUCAACAGGAUAAUAUUGAAAGAUAAUUAAUGCAUACACCACAAUUGUUAGUGUUCUAUAAAAUUUUAAAUUUCUCAUUUAAUUUUGUUAUUUGCUAAAUUAGAUAAUGUUCAACUUGUUAAGUAUCUAACUCAAAAAAUAUUGAAUUUAAACUUGAUUUUUGAAUUUGGUGUUGUAUUGUAAAAUUUUGAUUUUGAAAAUUCAAAUUCAAGAAUCUAAAUUGUACUUUUAAUCUUAAGACCAAAAUUUGAUUUUUUUUUUUAUUUAAGUUGAAAAUUUGAAUUUGAACUGAAAUUUUAUUUCAAAUUUGUGUUUUAUACACAAGAAAAAUUGAAUUUGAUUCAAAAUUAAGUUUUGUAUGUUGUUUCCAUAUUAAAUUCGCAGUUUGAAUGUAAUUUGAAUUUCAGCUAUUGUAUGUUGUUUCCAUAUUAGACGUAUUCUAAUGAAUGGUAUCUAUACCUCAAUAACAGAUCAUUUCUAAGAUCAUAUUAUAUCUAAACCACUGAUUUAAGAAAAUAAACGGUCAAAGUUUACAUAAUAUAUUCAAGUAUGGCUCCUAGUUCAAAAGAACAAUUCAAAACAUAUAACAAAAAUGUGGAAGUUAGAAACAAGGAAAAAAGGAAUAUUCAUAGCAAAGACACACUAACUUGGUGGCUUGUUUUCUUACUGAUUCUUAUUGAAAUCUCCAAGGAGACUCUGCUAUAUAUAAAUAGACUUCAUUGUGAUCUCUUGGAAUAUUUGUCAACUGAGGAAGCUCUCUACUAUGGUCCAGUUUGGCCUCCCUUGGUUGUUGCUCUAUGACCAGAAAUUAUGACCUUUAUAAAUUAAUAAAUUAGAAAAGCAAUAACAAUUAUUGGUAAAGCACAAAUAUUGCCCUAUCAUGAUCAUGACAAAGCAUGUGGCGUUGAUGGUUCUCAAAUGUUCUAUCAUGACCAAGUAUAUAUUUUAGGAGCUCCCCCACUCCUAUGGUCCAAAAUGGACAGUAAUUUCUACAACUUGUGGAAACUUUUUUCUUCUUUUUUUUUUUUUUUUUUCCAACACUAAAACACAAAGUGUUGCCCCCACCAUGGUCCAUACUAUGGAGGGUUGUAGGAUUCCAACUUCUUUUGAGUUAUAGAUGUAUGAGUCUUUAUGUUUUUAUGGAUUUCAGAAAUUGAAUUCACGACUUUAAAAAUAUCUGUAGUGCCAAUAUUUAUUUCGACACUGAAGUCACGAGAUCAUUCAAAUAUCAACUUUCAAUCGUAUGGAAAUUAGCUUUUAACUUCAAAUGGAUCACUACCAUGCAUCCUGACCGCACAUCUCUUUAUUUAAUGGCCAAAAAUCUAAUAACACCAACGAUUUUUAUUAAUAGUAUAGAAGUCUAUAUAUACAUACGUAUUAUACAGUGAUUAGGCCAAACUUUUUCUGAAUGCUGUAUCAAAGUAGGAGUCCAUUACUUGACCCACACCACUGAGGCUUUGUUUGAAAAUGCGGUGGCCAAAUUGGCGGCCUACUUUGAUGUUUUAAAGAGGUUAAAAAUUCUGAAAAUAUUUUAGAGCUUUUCUCCUCUAAUGUUAUGAGAAAGACAUCAGCAGGAUUGACGGAAACAUCAGAAAUUCUCCACUCAGUUGAUUAGUAUGGAGCCAUUAACUUGAGUCACUAAUCUACAAGCUUCAUGAAACAAUACCUUUUCUCCAUUCAUUUGUCCCAUUCCUUGUGGCAAACAUGCUCCACUUUCGUUUCAUCACUCCAUGUAUAGCUUCAUUCCCGACUCCGCAAGUUUAAGCACCUUGAUUAUCAAUCUACUAAUAUAAAACACACAGAUCAAGCGAAAAUUUGUGACGACAAAUGAAAACAAAUCGGAAUAGAGGCAACAGAUUUUUGCAGUUCAACCACUAGACUACAUCACCAGCAUCCAUGAGUGAAGAAGAGUAGAAUUUCAACUGAGAAAACACACAAGCUGGCCAAAUUGCUUCUCUCAAAAAAUUCUAAUUCCAGUACAUUCAGAAACCCCGAACCUUAAAAUAUGCAACAGUAAAACAGCAGUAGCAAAACAUAAUACAGGUAGAACCCCAACUACAAAUACAGAUAGGGAUCAGAAAUCGAAACACAAGCCGCAAAAUAUGCCGUAGCAAAAUGACAUAACAAAUCAAUUCCGAGAAUUCAAGACUAACAAUAGCACAUGGUUGUGAUAAGAAACAUAGGUUGACGAUGAUGUUCGGCGUCUCAAGCCAAACAUCGAUUGACAAAAUGAGGUGCAGUAUCUCAAACUACACCCAAAAUUCUUCUUUACACUUAGGCAUGCAAAGUCUCUGAGGCUUUUGCGAUAACUGGUAGCUAAAAGCAUAGCAAAACAUUGCAGCUAAAAGCAUAGCAAAACAUUGCGUCCAGCAUGCGCAAGUUUGCACAGAAAAAUAUAAUGCCCAACGGCAAUAAAAAAUAUACACCAAUUACAACACCAGCAUCCUCUCUCAAGGAUCUAAAGGACUCAACAAAUUGCAGUGACAUGAAAACCUGACAAAAGCAGAAAGUGAACUAUUCUUCUUUCGAAACCCCGGAAGAUUAAGACAAAAAAGAAAAACUCGGUACCCCAAAAUGAAGUAUAAGUGAGCAGGGGUGCUGUGGUGGAGAUGCAAGAAUUGUACAGGAAAUAUCAGCACUAGCAAACUUGUGAGAGAUCGCAGCUUUGCAGUGUUGCUAGUUGAUUUAUCUGCAACCAACUCUCGUACACGGAGGGCCAAAACUAAAAGAGAGAAUUUGGCUAGUGCUUAGAACCAGCGGAAAAGCCGUUGCCUCUGCGCGCUACUGCUAGUUCCAGGUGGAGUCACAGAUAUCCUGUUGGCGUUAGCUACUACCCACCGAUUGAAAUCUGGAGAAGACACUAGCUCAUCCACCGCCUUCUUAGUCUGCUCUUUAGUGAAUGUCUCCCAUUCUUCUUUCGACAUCUUCCUCCUCUCAGGAGUAUUGUGAAAGGUGGAAAAAUAGUUAUCCUCCGCUCGCCUUUGCGGUGGCGUCCUGGUUAAACCUGCAAUGGGAUGCAAGAUUAAGAACA
rnacentral:lncRNA from 1 species